rnacentral:rRNA from 1 species
AAUGUAUCGGAACGUACCAUUGAGUGGGGAUAACGUAGCGAAAGUUACGCUAAUACCGCAUAUACCCUGAGGGGGAAAGCAGGGGAUCGCAAGACCUUGUGCUCUUUGAGCGGCCGAUAUCAGAUUAGCUAGUUGGUGAGGUAAAGGCUCACCAAGGCGACGAUCUGUAGCGGGUCUGAGAGGAUGAUCCGCCACACUGGAACUGAGACACGGUCCAGACUCCUACGGGAGGCAGCAGUGGGGAAUUUUGGACAAUGGACGCAAGUCUGAUCCAGCCAUUCCGCGUGCAGGAUGAAGGCCCUCGGGUUGUAAACUGCUUUUGUACGGAACGAAAAGGUUUCUAUUAAUACUAGGAGCUCAUGACGGUACCGUAAGAAUAAGCACCGGCUAACUACGUG